UACGGAGGGUGCGAGCGUUAAUCGGAAUUACUGGGCGUAAAGCGCACGCAGGCGGUUUGUUAAGCUAGAUGUGAAAGCCCCGGGCUCAACCUGGGAUGGUCAUUUAGAACUGGCAGACUAGAGUCUUGGAGAGGGGAGUGAAAUUCCAGGUGUAGCGGUGAAAUGCGUAGAUAUCUGGAGGAACAUCAGUGGCGAAGGCGACUCCCUGGCCAAAGACUGACGCUCAUGUGCGAAAGUGUGGGUAGCGAACAGG
rnacentral:rRNA from 1 species